rnacentral:rRNA from 1 species
CCUACGGGCGGCAGCAGUGAGGAAUAUUGGUCAAUGGACGAGAGUCUGAACCAGCCAAGUAGCGUGAAGGAUGACUGCCCUAUGGGUUGUAAACUUCUUUUAUAUGGGAAUAAAAUGUUCCACGUGUGGGAUUUUGUAUGUACCAUAUGAAUAAGGAUCGGCUAACUCCGUGCCAGCAGCCGCGGUAAUACGGAGGAUCCGAGCGUUAUCCGGAUUUAUUGGGUUUAAAGGGAGCGUAGGUGGAUUGUUAAGUCAGUUGUGAAAGUUUGCGGCUCAACCGUAAAAUUGCAGUUGAAACUGGCAGUCUUGAGUACAGUAGAGGUGGGCGGAAUUCGUGGUGUAGCGGUGAAAUGCUUAGAUAUCACGAAGAACUCCGAUUGCGAAGCCAGUUCACUGGACUGCAACUGACACUGAGGCUCGAAAGUGUGGGUAUCAAACAGGAUUAGAUACCCUAGUAGUC